rnacentral:rRNA from 1 species
CUACGGGUGGCAGCAGGUGCGAAAACUUUACAAUGCACGAAAGUGCGAUAAGGGAAUCUCAAGUGCUUUACUUUUUGUAAAGCUUUUGUUAAGUGUAAAUAGCUUAGCGAAUAAGUGGUGGGUAAGACCGGUGCCAGCCGCCGCGGUAACACCGGCGCCACAAGUGGUAAUCACGUUUAUUGGGUCUAAAGGGUCCGUAGCUGGUCAGCUAAGUUCUUUGUGAAAUUGUUAGGCUUAACUUAACGAACCGCAAGGAAAACUAUCUGACUAGGAACCGGGAGAAGGCAGAAGUACUUUGGGGGGAGUGGUAAAAUGCUAUAAUCCUCAAAAGACUACCUAUGGCGAAGGCAUCUGUCUAGAACGGGUUUGACAGUGAUGGACGAAAGCUAGGGGAGCGAACUAAGAUAAAUCUAUAUCUUGGG